rnacentral:rRNA from 1 species
GAUGAACGCUGGCGGCGUGCUUAACACAUGCAAGUCGAACGAUGAAGCCCAGCUUGCUGGGUGCAUUAGUGGCGAACGGGUGAGUAACACGUGAGUAACCUGCCCUUAACUCUGGGAUAAGCCUGGGAAACAGGGUCUAAUACCGGAUAGGAGCGCCUACCGCAUGGUGGGUGUUGGAAAGAUUUAUCGGUUUUGGAUGGACUCGCGGCCUAUCCGCUUCUUGGUGAGGUAUUGGCUCACGAAGGCGACGACGGGUAGCCGGCCUGGGAGGGUGACCAGCCACACUGGGACUGAGACACGGCCCAGAGUCCUACGUGAGGCAGCAGUGGAAAAUAUUGCACAAUGGGCGAAAGCCUGAUGCAGCGACGCCGCGUGAGGGAUGACGGCCUUCGGGUUGUAAACCUCUUUCUGUGGGGAAAAAGCGAUAGUGACGGUACCUACAGAAGAAGCAACGGCUAACUACGUG